UACGUAGGGUGCAAGCGUUAAUCGGAUUACUGGGCAUAAAGCGUGCGCAGGCGGUUAUGUAAGACAGGUGUGAAAUCCCCGGGCUCAACCUGGGAACUGCAUUUGUGACUGCAUCGCUGGAGUGCGGCAGAGGGGGAUGGAAUUCCGCGUGUAGCAGUGAAAUGCGUAGAUAUGCGGAGGAACACCGAUGGCGAAGGCAAUCCCCUGGGCCUGCACUGACGCUCAUGCACGAAAGCGUGGGGAGCAAACAGG
rnacentral:rRNA from 1 species